CAGUAGCCGCGGUAAUACGGAGGGUGCAAGCGUUAAUCGGAAUUACUGGGCGUAAAGCGCACGCAGGCGGUCUGUCAAGUCAGAUGUGAAAUCCCCGGGCUUAACCUGGGAACUGCAUUUGAAACUGGCAGGCUAGAGUCUUGUAGAGGGGGGUAGAAUUCCAGGUGUAGCGGUGAAAUGCGUAGAGAUCUGGAGGAAUACCGGUGGCGAAGGCGGCCCCCUGGACAAAGACUGACGCUCAGGUGCGAAAGCGUGGGAGCAAACAGGAUUAGAUACCCGAGUAGUCCCUGUCUCUUAUACC
rnacentral:rRNA from 1 species